rnacentral:lncRNA from 1 species
GGCCAGCCUACUCAGACUCCAGUACACAUUUUGUUGGGUUUUGUUUGUUUGUUUAUUUGGUUUGGUUUCCCCACUGCUCUUCCAGGAUUCUCUCCUUUUUGGGGUCCAUGUUCCAUCCUGAGCAGCUUUUGGAGUACUUUCUCUUAUCACCUCAAAGACCUGACUUCUCCCUUCCCUGAAGUAGUUCUGUCACCACUACUCAUAAGCAGAUGGAGAGAGAUGGAGUGGUGAAGAAGAUGCAGCAAGCAUUUGGUAUCCUUAAUACAAGACAUGGAGUAAGGUAGAGAACAUACAGGAGGCUGGACAAUGGACUUCCCAGUGAAGACCUCAUAGUUCAGCAACUACUGAUAGAGUCACUGUGAUGCUUCUGAGUCACCAGAGCACAGAACACUGAGGACCUCCACAACCUUCCUGUCCCCAACCAGAACCCCUUCAGGGGACAACACAGACCCUUACAAGCUCAAGUGAGAGUUUAUUUACUCUCAUGGUAAUCCACUAUUCGUCUAAUAAAUACAAAUACAG